UGGGGAGUAGUUCAGCGGCAGAACACCGGUCUUUGGAACCGGGUGUCGGAGGUUCGAAUCCUCCCUCCCCAG
rnacentral:tRNA from 2 species